CUUUGUCCUGAAUACUGCAAGCAGUUGUAACACAAGCUUAUUCAAAGAAAAAUGACUUUAGCUUGGCAUGUGAGAAAGGUCAGGACAUUACACUGUUGGAAAUGUCUAUAUGCUUGAAAAGAACCGAGAGUCCUCUGAAUACGUAGCUCCCCCAGCGUCUUCACAGUGGGGUGUUUCACCCAUUUCGUGGAGUCCAAGUUCUGGAACUGGGAAGUUCAAGGCUGAGGAGCUGCAUCUGGUGAGGGUCUUCUUGCUGGUGGCCUUCUUCUGCAGAGUCCUGAGGUGCUGCAGGGGAUCUUGUGGCAGAGGUAGGAGCAAGAGUCAAGCUGGCUUUUUAAUGACCGACCGCCAUGAUAACCCAAGAACCUAUUAA
rnacentral:lncRNA from 1 species